rnacentral:rRNA from 1 species
UACGUAGGUGUCAAGCGUUGUCCGGAUUUAUUGGGCGUAAAGCGCCCGCAGGCGGCUUGCCAAGUUCGAUGUGAAAUCUCCCGGCUUAACUGGGAGGGUGCGGCGAAAACUGGAAUGCUAGAGGAUGGGAGAGGUAAGCGGAAUUCCUGGUGUAGCGGUGAAAUGCGUAGAUAUCAGGAGGAACACCUGUGGUGUAGACAGCUUACUGGACCAUUUCUGACGCUGAGACACGAAAGCGUGGGUAGCAAACAGG